UUUGAAUAAAAGUAGUUAAGUUCUUCAUAACUCAAAGAAUUUGGCGGUUAAUUAUAUUUUUAGAGGAACCUGUAAAUUAAUCGAUAAACCACGAUAGUUUAUACCCUUUUUUUAUUUGUAUACCUCUAUUUUUAGUGUUUUUUAAGGAUAUUUUUAUUUUGUUAUUUAACUUGAAUGUUAGGUCAAGGUGCAGUUUUUAAAGGGGUUUUAUGGGUUACUUAAAUUUAAAAUUUGUUUUUUUAUUUAUUUUUGUGUAGGUGUAAAAUUUAGGAUUUAAAAGUAAAUAAGAUAAAUUUGUUUUCUUGAAUUUUU
rnacentral:rRNA from 1 species